GACGAACGCUGGCGGCGUGCUUAACACAUGCAAGUCGAACGGAAAGGCCCUGCUUGCAGGGUGCUCGAGUGGCGAACGGGUGAGUAACACGUGGGUGAUCUGCCCCUUACUUUGGGAUAAGCCUGGGAAACUGGGUCUAAUACUGGAUAGGACCAUGCUGUAGGUGGUGUGGUGGAAAGAUUUUUUCGGUAAGGGAUGAGCUCGCGGCCUAUCAGCUUGUUGGUGGGGUAAUGGCCUACCAAGGCGUCGACGGGUAGCCGGCCUGAGAGGGUGGACGGCCACAUUGGGACUGAGAUACGGCCCAGACUCCUACGGGAGGCAGCAGUGGGGAAUAUUGCACAAUGGGCGCAAGCCUGAUGCAGCGACGCCGCGCGGGGGAUGACGGCCUUCGGGUUGUAAACUCCUUUCAGCCAUGACGAAGCCUCUUUUGGGGUGACGGUAGUGGUAGAAGAAGCACCGGCUAACUACGUG
rnacentral:rRNA from 1 species